AUACAUGCAGUCGGACGGGAUUCGAGAUUAGNAGCUUGCUUUAGAUUUCAUGAGAGUGGCGCACGGGUGCGUAACGCGUGCAGACCUACCCAUAUCAGGGGGAUAGCCUCUCGAAAGAGAGAUUAACACCGCAUAACAUCAUUUACCGGCAUCGGAUUAUGAUCAAAUAUUUAUAGGAUAUGGAUGGGCUCGCGUGACAUUAGCUAGUUGGAGGGGUAACGGCCCACCAAGGCUACGAUGUCUAGGGGCUCUGAGAGGAGAAUCCCCCACACUGGUACUGAGACACGGACCAGACUCCUACGGGAGGCAGCAGUAAGGAAUAUUGGUCAAUGGAGGGAACUCUGAACCAGCCAUGCCGCGUGCAGGAUGACUGCCCUAUGGGUUGUAAACUGCUUUUGUCAGGGAAUAAACCUUUCCACGUGUGGGAAGCUGAAUGUACCUGAAGAAUAAGGAUCGGCUAACUCCGUGCCAGCAGCCGCGGUAAUACGGAGGAUCCAAGCGUUAU
rnacentral:rRNA from 1 species